AAUGCGUGACGGGGGCGCCUGCCGGAAACGGCAGGCUGAGAAGCACCCUUCGAACCUGACCCGGAUAAUGCCGGCGGAGGGAGUCGCGGCGGGGUCUCU
rnacentral:ncRNA from 2 species